rnacentral:rRNA from 1 species
UACGUAGGGUGCGAGCGUUAAUCGGAAUUACUGGGCGUAAAGUGUGACGCAGGCGGCUCUGCAAGUCGAGUGUGAAAUCCCCGAGCUUAACUUGGGAAUUGCGCUCGAAACUAUGGAGCUGGAGUGUGGCAGAGGGAAGGUGGAAUUCCGACGUGUAGCGGUGAAAUGCGUAGAGAUGAUGGAGGAACACCGAUGGCGAAGGCAGCCUUCUGGGCCAACACUGACGCUCAUGCACGAAAGCGUGGGGAGCAAACAGG